AGAGUUUGAUCCUGGCUCAGGAUGAACGCUAGCGGCAGGCUUAAUACAUGCAAGUCGAGGGGCAGCAUGAGUGUAGCAAUACAUUUGAUGGCGACCGGCAAACGGGUGCGGAACACGUACACAACCUUCCUAUAAGUGGGGAAUAGCCCAGAGAAAUUUGGAUUAAUACCCCGUAACAUAAUGAUGUGGCAUCACAUUAUUAUUAUAGCUACGGCGCUUAUUGAUGGGUGUGCGGCUGAUUAGAUAGUUGGCGGGGUAACGGCCCACCAAGUCUACGAUCAGUAGCUGAUGUGAGAGCAUGAUCAGCCACACGGGCACUGAGACACGGGCCCGACUCCUACGGGAGGCAGCAGUAAGGAAUAUUGGUCAAUGGACGCAAGUCUGAACCAGCCAUGCCGCGUGAAGGAUUAAGGUCCUCUGGAUUGUAAACUUCUUUUAUCUGGGACGAAAAAAGGCGAUUCUUCGUCACUUGACGGUACCAGAUGAAUAAGCACCGGCUAACUCCGUGCCAGCAGCCGCGGUAAUACGGAGGGUGCAAGCGUUAUCCGGAUUCACUGGGUUUAAAGGGUGCGUAGGCGGGUAGGUAAGUCAGUGGUGAAAUCCUGGAGCUUAACUCCAGAACUGCCAUUGAUACUAUCUAUCUUGAAUAUUGUGGAGGUAAGCGGAAUAUGUCAUGUAGCGGUGAAAUGCUUAGAUAUGACAUAGAACACCUAUUGCGAAGGCGGCUUACUACGCAUAUAUUGACGCUGAGGCACGAAAGCGUGGGGAUCAAACAGGAUUAGAUACCCUGGUAGUCCAA
rnacentral:rRNA from 1 species